CUGAGAGAAACAAGCAUAUACUUCGUAACGAGAUAGCUGUUUACAUUAUUUCCAAACCGAACACGGUAGGAUCAAUUUAUGUACAACAAUAGUGAUUCGAUCUCGAAUCAUCGAAGGCCUGAGCUGACAAGGUACAUUUGGUGCAAUCAGUUUGCGCCUGAGCUGACAAGGUGCAUUUGGUGCAAUCAGUUUGCGUGCAAUUGCGCUUCCUUGCUGGUAAGCGGCACAUAGCGCACAGAUGUCUCGUCUCUUAUGCUGACUGUGCCAUCCAGCUUCUUGUCCACCACCUUGAGCUCCUGGAAGACUGUCCCUACCGGGAU
rnacentral:lncRNA from 1 species